rnacentral:rRNA from 1 species
UGGGCGAGCCUGACCGAGCACGCCGCGUGAGCGAUGAAGGCCUUCGGGUCGUAAAGCUCUGUUGUUAGAGAAGAACAAGUACGAGAGUAACUGCUCGUACCUUGACGGUACCUAACCAGAAAGCCACGGCUAACUACGUGCCAGCAGCCGCGGUAAUACGUAGGUGGCAAGCGUUAUCCGGAAUUAUUGGGCGUAAAGCGCGCGCAGGCGGUCUCUUAAGUCUGAUGUGAAAGCCCACGGCUCAACCGUGGAGGGUCAUUGGAAACUGGGAGACUUGAGUGCAGGAGAGAAAAGUGGAAUUCCACGUGUAGCGGUGAAAUGCGUAGAGAUGUGGAGGAACACCAGUGGCGAAGGCGGCUUUUUGGCCUGUAACUGACGCUGAGGCGCGAAAGCGUGGGGAGCAAACAGGAUUAGAUACCCUGGUAGUCCACGCCGUAAACGAUGAGUGCUAGGUGUUGGGGGGUUCCACCCUCAGUGCUGAAGUUAACACAUUAAGCACUCCGCCUGGGGAGUACGACCGCAAGGUUGAAACUCAAAGGAAUUGACGGGGGCCCGCACAAGCAGUGGAGCAUGUGGUUUAAUUCGAAGCAACGCGAAGAACCUUACCAGGUCUUGACAUCCUCUGACCACUCUAGAGAUAGAGCUUUCCCCUUCGGGGGACAGAGUGACAGGUGGUGCAUGGUUGUCGUCAGCUCGUGUCGUGAGAUGUUGGGUUAAGUCCCGCAACGAGCGCAACCCUUGACCUUAGUUGCCAGCAUUCAGUUGGGCACUCUAAGGUGACUGCCGGUGACAAACCGGAGGAAGGUGGGGAUGACGUCAAA